rnacentral:rRNA from 1 species
AAAUUGAAGAGUUUGAUCAUGGCUCAGAUUGAACGCUGGCGGCAGGCCUAACACAUGCAAGUCGAACGGUAACAGGAAGCAGCUUGCUGCUUCGCUGACGAGUGGCGGACGGGUGAGUAAUGUCUGGGAAACUGCCUGAUGGAGGGGGAUAACUACUGGAAACGGUAGCUAAUACCGCAUAACGUCGCAAGACCAAAGAGGGGGACCUUCGGGCCUCUUGCCAUCGGAUGUGCCCAGAUGGGAUUAGCUUGUUGGUGGGGUAACGGCUCACCAAGGCGACGAUCCCUAGCUGGUCUGAGAGGAUGACCAGCCACACUGGAACUGAGACACGGUCCAGACUCCUACGGGAGGCAGCAGUGGGGAAUAUUGCACAAUGGGCGCAAGCCUGAUGCAGCCAUGCCGCGUGUAUGAAGAAGGCCUUCGGGUUGUAAAGUACUUUCAGCGGGGAGGAAGGGAGUAAAGUUAAUACCUUUGCUCAUUGACGUUACCCGCAGAAGAAGCACCGGCUAACUCCGUGCCAGCAGCCGCGGUAAUACGG